UACGGAGGGAGCUAGCGUUGUUCGGAAUUACUGGGCGUAAAGCGCACGUAGGCGGCUUUGUAAGUUAGAGGUGAAAGCCUGGGGCUCAACUCCAGAAUUGCCUUUAAGACUGCAUCGCUUGAAUCAUGGAGAGGCGGGUGGAAUUCCGAGUGUAGAGGUGAAAUUCGUAGGAUAUUCGGAAGAACACCAGUGGCGAAGGCGGCUCACUGGCCCGGUACUGACGCUGAGGCACGAAAGCGUG
rnacentral:rRNA from 1 species